rnacentral:rRNA from 1 species
UACGAAGGGGGCUAGCGUUGCUCGGAUUCACUGGGCGUAAAGGGUGCGUAGGCGGGUCUUUAAGUCAGGGGUGAAAUCCUGGAGCUCAACUCCAGAACUGCCUUUGAUACAUGAAGUAUCUUGAAGUUCGGGAGAGGUGAGUGGAACUGCGAGUGUAGAGGUGAAUUCGUAGAUAUUCGCAAGAACACCAGUGGCGAAGGCGGCUCACUGGCCCGAUACUGACGCUGAGGCACGAAAGCGUGGGGAGCAAACAGG